CUCAGCAUCCAAAGCCUGUCCCCUCAGCUCAGAAUGUCAUAACAAAGAAGUCUAAUUCCUUUCUAACAAGAAUAAAAUAUUUGUACAGGUUGAUAGGGACCUUGGGAAACUGUGUCAGUAAUGGUGAUUCAGAGUUUUCACAUCCUUACUGAAUAUUUUGAAGAAAUUAUGAAGUGAAACUGCCUAACUUUGUCAUCCCAGAAUGUCUGGGAUUUCUUUCUUUUUU